rnacentral:rRNA from 1 species
GACGAAGGAUGCAAGCGUUAUCCGGAUUCAUUGGGUUUAAAGGGAGCGUAGGCGGUCUUAUAAGUCAGUGGUGAAAUCUCCUCGCUUAACGAGGAAACUGCCAUUGAUACUGUAGGACUUGAGUAUAGUUGCUGUGGGCGGAAUAUGACAUGUAGUGGUGAAAUACUUAGAUAUCGUCAAGAACACCGAUAGCGAAGGCAGCUUACUAGACUGUAACUGACGCUGAGGCACGAAAGUGUGGGGAUCAAACAGGAUUAGAUACCCCAGUAGU